AGAGUUUGAUCCUGGCUCAGAGCGAACGCUGGCGGCAGGCUUAACACAUGCAAGUCGAGCGGGCGUAGCAAUACGUCAGCGGCAGACGGGUGAGUAACGCGUGGGAACGUACCUUUUGGUUCGGAACAACACAGGGAAACUUGUGCUAAUACCGGAUAAGCCCUUACGGGGAAAGAUUUAUCGCCGAAAGAUCGGCCCGCGUCUGAUUAGCUAGUUGGUGAGGUAACGGCUCACCAAGGCGACGAUCAGUAGCUGGUCUGAGAGGAUGAUCAGCCACAUUGGGACUGAGACACGGCCCAAACUCCUACGGAAGGCAGCAGUGGGGAAUAUUGGACAAUGGGCGCAAGCCUGAUCCAGCCAUGCCGCGUGAGUGAUGAAGGCCCUAGGGUUGUAAAGCUCUUUUGUGCGGGAAGAUAAUGACGGUACCGCAAGAAUAAGCCCCGGCUAACUUCGUGCCAGCAGCCGCGGUAAU
rnacentral:rRNA from 1 species